UCGCAAUUAUCAAAUCCUAAAUAAUUAUGGUUUUCUACUACAAUUUUUAAUUAGUUUUCUAAUAUUCUCCCGUAAUUCAAGGAUAUAUAUGACUUUUGUAGUAUUGGAGCACUUCUCUCCAAUCUUCUACAUUUGUUGAAGCACUUGUCUCUAACUCUCGUUGAUGUACUUUGCCACCAACAAUCAAUUUUAUUGAAGCACAUGUCUCCAACUUCCGUUGUUGCACUUUUUCACCAACACCCAAUUUUGUUGAAGCACCAGUCUUGAACUCCCGUUAAUGCACUUUGUCACCAAUAUCAAAUUUUGCUGAAGUACAUAUCUACAAUUCUCAUUGAUGCACUUUGUCACCAACAAUAAUGUUUUGAAGUAUCUGUCUUCAACUCCCGUUGAUGCACUUUGUCACCAAAAUUCAAUUGUGUUGAAACACCUGUUUUCAACACCCGUUGAUGCACUUUGUCACCAACACUCAACUUUGUUGAUUUACGUGCAAUCAACUUCCAACUUUUUAAAAUCUUUCUCCAACUUUGAAAAGUUUCUUCUUCUUAUAUCAUAUUUGCUUGCACCUCUUUAAAUUUGCUUUUUUUCUUGGAUCUUUCUUGAAACUUUUCACCAAAUAAUCUAAUUUUAUUGACAACCGCCUAUAAUUUUGCCAACUUAUAUUGUUUGCCAGACUGGCGGCACAACUUGGCUAAUGGUGCUCUCCGGUAACGGAAGCUACUUGAUUCUUUUCCAAAAUCGUAGAAGUUCUGAUACCAAUUUGAAGGAAGAUAUAUUAUAAAAAUCUCUGAAAGGUCACUAUAAUACUAUACUUCUCCAUACAUAAAAUAAGCUAUUAAUACCUUUAUUUAUAAUAGUACGAAAUUUAACAAGAAAUAGGAAAUCAUAUUCCUAUAUUAAUUUUGACUAUAAAUCCUAUAUAACUAUGAAUUAAAUAACUUGCAAAUAUCAAAUCCUAAGCAAUUAUGGUUUCUUAUUUCAACUUUCAAUUAGUUUUCCUAUAGAUUUGUUCAGCUUGGCAUUCUGAAAAUCUGUAGUUUUCCUCUUGAAAAUAACAAAAUAUGAACUAGGGUAUCGCCAAAGAAGAUGUUGUUUUUUUGGUUUUGUUAUAUACAUUGGAACUCGAUUAAAUUUUGGUUCGUGUUAGAAAUCCUCACAUUAGAGAAAGAGGGCUAAGUCGUCGGAGAGCUUACAGGGACUGGGAAAGGCAGUUGGAUAAUAGAGCCGGGGUAGGGGCAAAUCGAAGGUAUUGCCUAUCAGGAUUGAGCACUGACGAGCCUCGACUUGGGCCAACAUUAAUGACAAAAGAAAAACUUCCUCCAUCGUACCAGUAAUCGGCUAGGAUUCAAUAUCAGGUUUAGGAUUCAAGUCAAAUUGAUCUUUUCUCUCAUCUCAGUAUGAGGUAAAGAAUUG
rnacentral:lncRNA from 1 species